UAAACAUUUGAGUGAGUGGCGGACGGGUGAGUAACACGUGGGUAACCUGCCCUAAAGUGGGGGAUAACAUUUGGAAACAGAUGCUAAUACCGCAUAAAACCUAACACCGCAUGGUGUAGGGUUGAAAGAUGGUUUCGGCUAUCACUUUAGGAUGGACCCGCGGUGCAUUAGUUAGUUGGUGAGGUAAAGGCUCACCAAGACCGUGAUGCAUAGCCGACCUGAGAGGGUAAUCGGCCACACUGGGACUGAGACACGGCCCAGACUCCUACGGGAGGCAGCAGUAGGGAAUCUUCCACAAUGGACGAAAGUCUGAUGGAGCAACGCCGCGUGAGUGAAGAAGGUUUUCGGAUCGUAAAACUCUGUUGUUGGAGAAGAAUGUAUCUGAUAGUAACUGAUCAGGUAGUGACGGUAUCCAAUCAGAAAGCCACGGCUAACUACGUG
rnacentral:rRNA from 1 species